rnacentral:tRNA from 1 species
GCAGCAGCGCCGCGCGGCGCGGGCGGUCGCGUCAUCGCCCCGGACGACCGGGCAGGGCAGCCUGCUCGCGCGGUUCGACGCAGCGCUGUCGUUC